CAUUAUUCUAGAGUUUGAUCAUGGCUCAGAUUGAACGCUGGCGGCAGGCUUAACACAUGCAAGUCGAGCGGGGAAAAGUAGCUUGCUACUUAACUUAGCGGCGGACGGGUGAGUAAUACUUAGGAAUCUACCUAAUAGUGGGGGACAACAUCUCGAAAGGGAUGCUAAUACCGCAUACGCCCUACGGGGGAAAGCAGGGGAUCUUCGGACCUUGCGCUAAUAGAUGAGCCUAAGUCGGAUUAGCUAGUUGGUGGGGUAAAGGCCUACCAAGGCGACGAUCUGUAGCGGGUCUGAGAGGAUGAUCCGCCACACUGGGACUGAGACACGGCCCAGACUCCUACGGGAGGCAGCAGUGGGGAAUAUUGGACAAUGGGGGGAACCCUGAUCCAGCCAUGCCGCGUGUGUGAAGAAGGCCUUUUGGUUGUAAAGCACUUUAAGCGAGGAGGAGGCUCCCAGUAUUAAUACUACUGGAGAGUGGACGUUACUCGCAGAAUAAGCACCGGCUAACUCUGUGCCAGCAGCCGCGGUAAUACAGAGGGUGCAAGCGUUAAUCGGAUUUACUGGGCGUAAAGCGUGCGUAGGUGGCCAAUUAAGUCAAAUGUGAAAUCCCCGAGCUUAACUUGGGAAUUGCAUUCGAUACUGGUUGGCUAGAGUAUGGGAGAGGAUGGUAUAAUUCCAGGUGUACCGGUGAAAUGCGUAAAGAUCUGGAGGAAUACCGAUGGCGAAGGCAGCCAUCUGGCCUAAUACUGACACUGAGGUACGAAAGCAUGGGGAGCAAACAGGAUUAAAUACCCUGGUAGUCCAUGCCGUAAACGAUGUCUACUAGCCGUUGGGGUCUUUGAGACUUUAGUGGCGCAGCUAACGCAAUAAGUAGACCGCCUGGGGAGUACGGUCGCAGACUAAAACUCAAAUGAAUUGACGGGGG
rnacentral:rRNA from 1 species